CACCUGCAAAACUUGAUAUAUUACUUGAGAACCUAUUAGAUAAACUGUAAUGUUAUUUUUUUGAUAUACAGCAUUUAUUUGUAUACUGGAUCAUUUAUUUCGGAUAUUAACUUUAAUAAACACUUCGGGCAACAGACAGAUAUUUUCUUUAGUGUGAAAAACUCAGUUGCUGUCGUGUUGCAAUAUGUCUUAAAUGUGAAAUAACUUUCUAAAUUUAUUUAAGCGUUCUUGCUUGAUUAAAUGGUCAGUGAAUAAUACUGGACAAUAUAUUUACAAUACAAGCAAAAAAUUAAAAACAAAAAAGUCAUCUUUUAAGCAUCAGAUUGCUGUAUAUUAAGAAAUUUUUUUUUUUUUUUUUUAAAGAUUAGAAUAUUUGAAUGCUCAGUAUUGUGAGUUGACAGAGCCUGACUCCUCCGAACUCCCAGCUAAUGUAAAAAUGAACAACAGGAUAGUAGGAGUGAGGCCGAGACAAACUAAGCACAAAUCUUUGCCAUGCAUUGUUCUGCAAAGGCACCCAGAUGUCAUGCUAAGCAACCACGCUUGUAACUGUUUAUAACUUUAAGCCUUAACGCAACUUAAAAUAAUUAGUUAUGUAAACAUUCAUCCCCGUACAGUUGUGAUGAACAUGCAAAUUAGCUAUGGAGACCAAAACUAUUUCUUGUAGCAGGCUGUGAGCAUGUUUAUUUCUGCUGUGAAGUUGGGUAUUUUAACAUGUUAAUCUAUGGGGACUGGCUGGCUUUUUGAGUCAGCCUCAAGUGGCCAUUUGAGGAACUGCACUAGCUUAAUUUCUCAGCUCCUCAUGUGGCCACUUGGCAAUAUAUCAUUACACAUACCAAGAUAAAUGACAUGUUUCACAAUCUAUUUGUAUAAUUUAUAUACAUAACAAGCCACAACCUGAAAAGGUUCUUUUACUUUGAUUUUUGGCUAUUUAACCUCAAGAAACACAAGUAUAUUUGAAUAUUAUUUUGCUCAAGGCAAAAAGGGUGUGUAAGUUUCUUGGAAAAUAAAUUAUAGAUAUGGAAAAAGUUUCCUAUUCCUGUGUGAGCCCAAUCACUCAACAUGUUGUGCGAUUAAAGUGUAUACAGUUACUCUAAAUGGCCACAUAGUGCGCAGCAGUCUCUCCUGGAAAACCAUUCAUAGUGCUGCACUCAGUUGUACUCAUGAAAAGAGACAGAAAUAGCUGAGGAGUGUCAAGAUUGAAAUAGGAGAACCUGAGCUCAAACUUUAGCUCCUUUCUCCCUUCCGCUCAGCUGGCCAGUGACACGGUGAAGUGGGAUUUCCAAACCUAUUCAACCAUCCAGCAAACCAUCCUGAUGAAGUACACUCUCUGCUAUUGACUGCCGCGUCUCCUUCAGCUCACAGGCCGACGGAUCAAACCCAUCCCCCGGUGAGGCUGUCCUGGAUGUCUCGGUGUCCGUCCGCCGCUGGUGCGCUGUCCCCGGCUUCUUGUCGUCCUCCUCCUCCUCGGUGUCUCCGCUCUACGAAGGAAAUUGACACAUUUUACUUCACUGCAGCAGCGGCUCCAGCGGCACAUGCUCAGACAGACUCACGCAGUUCUUGCAUCUUUUGGUUAACCGUUUGUUCACCUCGGCUCAGUGCAGACAUCCAGCCUGCCUGUUACCGGGAUACUAGUUGCUGAAGUCCUCUCUCAUCCGGUCUGCCCGGAUCCGCAGGACGGGCGGCUGGAUUAUAUAAUAAACACACACCCUCAGCGGAUAAAAACUGACUCACAGUAGCAAUUUAGCCACUCUGGCCCCAUAAUAUACCAAGCUAUAAACAAAUUUAAGGAUUUUUUAUGAAGGAAUAGUUUAGAAAUUUGGAGAAAAAACGUUAAUUUGAUGUUGUCAAGCUAGCUAGACGAAUAUGUUAGUUACUGACAAGCUAGCUGACAGUUAGCUUAAUUUAGCAUUAAAACUGUAAACAGAUAAAUAUAGCCUGUCUCUGUCAACAAGUUACAAACUACAGGAAAAAAAAGAAACACAAAAACUGACUAAAUAAAGCCUAUUCAGACCAGUCAAUUACCCAAAUUCGAAAUUUGAAGAAUGAAAGGUUGUGCUAAUUUGUUGUUGCCAGACGCUAGCUGUCAGUUAGCUUAGUUUAGCAUAAUAACUGUACAGAUACAACUACCCUGGCUUUGUCCACAAAUUGCAUACUCCAAAAGCCAACCACAAAAGACGCAUCAAUUAAACCACUUUCUCCCCUGUUUAUAAUCUAAAUUUUAAGUCUGAAGAAAUAGUUUGUUCUUUAAUCACCAUCACGGCCAGUUGGUCAGUUGCCAGCAACAAAGUGUUUUCAGGGAAGGUAACUGCAAAGCUAAGCCAACUGAAAUGUAAGUUUUCUUGUUUUUCUUUUUUUAAAAAGCUAACCCUUGUUUUUACAGCCAUAAAUUUGUUAUUUGUAUUUUGUUUUACCUUAAGCAUAUUUUUUUGUGUCACUAGGAUGUUUAUUUUGAAAGAUGUCUCAGGUAGGAACUGUUGUUCAGGUACUUGGUUCCGCCCGUGCGCUAAUUAGUGAUGUACGCCCUCAGCUCAGAGAAGCGUGACAUUUUUUUACAGCCAGAAAAAUAAGCUGUUAAGAAAGGUUAAGACCUCAUUUCUACCUCAAGUUGUGGUCAACCAGCGAGGUAUGUUUUCUAUACUGUGUUUGUGCAGUUUUAUGUUUAUUUGCCUUGCCUUAUUGCUUCUUUAUGUUGCUUUUAGUUCGACGGUGGUUCAAUGUAGCAGACGGUGGUCAAAGGUGCCUCAAGUAUCCCAUUGUGGCAUCUGCAACUCCGUGGUGUCAUUAAAAGAAUGAAUCCAUCAGUGAAAGAA